rnacentral:rRNA from 1 species
AGCAUAUCAAUAAGCGGAGGAAAAGAAACCAACAGGGAUUGCCCUAGUAACGGCGAGUGAAGCGGCAACAGCUCAAAUUUGAAAUCUGGCUCUUUCAGAGUCCGAGUUGUAAUUUGCAGAGGGCGCUUUGGCUUUGGCAGCGGUCCAAGUUCCUUGGAACAGGACGUCACAGAGGGUGAGAAUCCCGUACGUGGUCGCUAGCUAUUGCCGUGUAAAGCCCCUUCGACGAGUCGAGUUGUUUGGGAAUGCAGCUCUAAAUGGGAGGUAAAUUUCUUCUAAAGCUAAAUAUUGGCCAGAGACCGAUAGCGCACAAGUAGAGUGAUCGAAAGAUGAAAAGCACUUUGGAAAGAGAGUCAAACAGCACGUGAAAUUGUUGAAAGGGAAGCGCUUGCAGCCAGACUUGCUUGCAGUUGCUCAUCCGGGCUUUUGCCCGGUGCACUCUUCUGCAGGCAGGCCAGCAUCAGUUUGGGCGGUGGGAUAAAGGUCUCUGUCAUGUACCUCUCUUCGGGGAGGCCUUAUAGGGGAGGCGACAUACCACCAGCCUAGACUGAGGUCCGCGCAUCUGCUAGGAUGCUGGCGUAAUGGCUGUAAGCGGCCCGUCUUGAAACACGGACCAAGGAGUCUAACAUCUAUGCGAGUGUUUGGGUGUCAAGCCCGAGCGCGUAAUGAAAGUGAACGGAGGUGGGAACCCGCAAGGGUGCACCAUCGACCGAUCCUGAAGUUUACGGAAGGAUUUGAGUAAGAGCAUGGCUGUUGGGACCCGAAAGAUGGUGAACUAUGCUUGAAUAGGGUGAAGCCAGAGGAAACUCUGGUGGAGGCUCGCAGCGGUUCUGACGUGCAAAUCGAUCGUCAAAUUUGGGCAUAGGGGCGAAAGACUAAUCGAACUAUCUAGUAGCUGGUUC